rnacentral:rRNA from 1 species
GACGAACGCUGGCGGCGUGCCUAAUACAUGCAAGUUGAGCGCUGAAGGUUGGUACUUGUACCAACUGGAUGAGCAGCGAACGGGUGAGUAACGCGUGGGGAAUCUGCCUUUGAGCGGGGGACAACAUUUGGAAACGAAUGCUAAUACCGCAUAAAAACUUUAAACACAAGUUUUAAGUUUGAAAGAUGCAAUUGCAUCACUCAAAGAUGAUCCCGCGUUGUAUUAGCUAGUUGGUGAGGUAAAGGCUCACCAAGGCGAUGAUACAUAGCCGACCUGAGAGGGUGAUCGGCCACAUUGGGACUGAGACCCGGCCCAAACUCCCACGGGAGGCAGCAGUAGGGAAUCUUCGGCAAUGGACGAAAGUCUGACCGAGCAACGCCGCGUGAGUGAAGAAGGUUUUCGGAUCGUAAAACUCUGUUGGUAGAGAAGAACGUUGGUGAGAGUGGAAAGCUCAUCAAGUGACGGUAACUACCCAGAAAGGGACGGCUAACUACGUG